rnacentral:rRNA from 1 species
UCAAGUUAUUAAGGGUGCAGGGCGGAUGCCUUGGCACUAGGAGCCGAUGAAGGACGUGAUAAGCUGCGAUAAGCUUCGGGGAGUUGCACGUAAACUUUGAUCCGAAGAUUUCCGAAUGAGGAAACUCACUUAGAGUAAUGUCUAAGUAUCAUUAAGUGAAUACAUAGCUUAAUGAGGGGAACUCAGGGAACUGAAACAUCUAAGUACCUGAAGGAAGAGAAAGAAAUUCGAUUCCGUAAGUAGCGGCGAGCGAACGCGGAUUAGCCCAAACCAAUAAAGUUUUCUUUAUUGGGGUUGCGGACAUAUCAUAACGAAGAGGUAUCGUAAUUGAAGAGGUUUGGAAAGACCCACCACAGAAGGUAAUAGUCCUGUAUGUUAAACGAGAAGACUUUAGAUAUGAUCCAGAGUACCACGGGACACGUGAAACCCUGUGGGAAGCAGGAGGGACCACCCUCCAAGGCUAAAUACUACAUAGUGACCGAUAGCGUAUAGUACCGUGAGGGAAAGGUGAAAAGAACCCCGGGAGGGGAGUGAAAUAGAACCUGAAACCCUGCACUUACAAGCUGUGGAAGCACAUUUCUUGUGUGACCGCGUACUUUUUGUAGAACGGGCCAACGAGUUACGUUAAGUAGCAAGGUUAAGCACUUAAGGUGCGGAGCCGUAGCGAAAGCGAGUUUUAACUGAGCGUUCAGUUACUUGACGUAGACCCGAAACCGGGCGACCUACCCAUGAGCAGGAUGAAGCGAAAGUAAAAUUUCGUGGAGGUCCGAACCCACGAGCGUUGAAAAGCUCGGGGAUGACUUGUGGGUAGCGGUGAAAUUCCAAUCGAGCCCGGAGAUAGCUGGUUCUCCCCGAAAUAGCUUUAGGGCUAGCCUCAAGGUGAGAGAUACGGAGGUAGAGCACUGAAUGUCCUAGGGGGUAUUGCACCUACCGAAGACUAUCAAACUCCGAAUGCCGUCAUCUUAUACUUGGGAGUCAGACUGUGGGUGAUAAGAUUCAUAGUCGAAAGGGCAACAGCCCAGAUCGUCAGCUAAGGUCCCUAAAUGUAAGUUAAGUGGUAAAGGAUGUGGGAUUGCACAGACAACCAGGAUGUUGGCUUAGAAGCAGCCACUCAUUCAAAGAGUGCGUAAUAGCUCACUGGUCGAGUGAUCCUGCGCCGAAGAUUUCCGGGGCUAAAACUUACUACCGAAGCUACGGCAUCAUUAUGAUGGGUAGGGGAGCUUCCCAUACGGGUUGAAGCAUGACCGUAAGGACAUGUGGACAGUAUGGGAGUGAGAAUGUUGGCAUGAGUAGCGAGAUGUGGGUGAGAAUCCCACAGGCCGUAAACCCAAGGUUUCCAGGGGAAGGUUCGUCCGCCCUGGGUUAGUCGGGACCUAAGCUGAGGCCGAAAGGCGUAGGUGAUGGACAACAGGUUGAUAUUCCUGUACUACCGAUAACCGUUUGAGAGAAGGGAUGACACAGUAGGAUAAGCUAAGCACACUGUUGGUUAUGUGUGCCCAAGCAUUGAGGCAGUCAAAGUAGGCAAAUCCGCUUUGAUAAUGCUGGGAUGUGAUGGGGAGCGAAAUUUAGUAGCGAAGUAGCUGAUUUCACACUGUCAAGAAAAGUCUCUAUCGAGGUUAAAGGUACCCGUACCGCAAACCGACACAGGUGGGUGAGGAGAGUAUCCUAAGGCCAGCGAGAGAACUGUUGUUAAGGAACUCGGCAAAAUGACCCCGUAACUUAGGGAUAAGGGGUGCCACCAUCAGGUGGCCGCAGAGAAUAGGCCCAAGCGACUGUUUACCAAAAACAUAGGUUUCUGCUAAGUCGCAAGACGAUGUAUAGGAGCUGACGCCUGCCCGGUGCUGGAAGGUUAAGGGGAUCUGUUAGAGCAAUCGAAGCAGUGAACUUAAGCCCCAGUAAACGGCGGCCGUAACUAUAACGGUCCUAAGGUAGCGAAAUUCCUUGUCGGGUAAGUUCCGACCCGCACGAAAGGCGUAACGAUUUGGGCACUGUCUCAACAACAGACUCGGUGAAAUUGUAAUUCCGGUGAAGAUGCCGGAUACCUGCGACAGGACGGAAAGACCCCAUGGAGCUUUACUGUAGCUUGACAUUGGGUCUUGGUACUACAUGUACAGGAUAGGUGGGAGGCUUUGAAACCAGGACGCCAGUUUUGGCGGAGCCAUCCUUGGGAUACCACCCUUGUAGUACUGGGACUCUAACCAUAGGCCAUGAAUCUGGUCUUGGGACACUGUCAGGUGGGCAGUUUGACUGGGGCGGUCGCCUCCCAAAAGGUAACGGAGGCGCUCAAAGGUUCUCUCAGUACGGUCGGAAAUCGUACGUAGAGUGUAAAGGCAAAAGAGAGCUUGAUUGCAAGACAUACAGGUCGAGCAAGGAUGAAAAUCGGACUUAGUGAUCCGGUGGUUCUGCGUGGAAGGGCCAUCGCUCAACGGAUAAAAGCUACCCUGGGGAUAACAGGCUUAUCUCCCCCAAGAGUCCACAUCGACGGGGAGGUUUGGCACCUCGAUGUCGGCUCAUCACAUCCUGGGGCUGUAGUAGGUCCCAAGGGUUGGGCUGUUCGCCCAUUAAAGUGGUACGCGAGCUGGGUUCAGAACGUCGUGAGACAGUUCGGUCCCUAUCCGUCGCAGGCGUAGGAAAUUUGAGAAGACCUGUCCUUAGUACGAGAGGACCGGGAUGGACGUACCUCUGGUGUACCAGUUGUCCUGCCAAGGGCAUGGCUGGGUAGCUAUGUACGGAAUGGAUAAGCGCUGAAAGCAUCUAAGCGCGAAGCCAACUUCAAGAUAAGAUUUCCCACCGCAAGGGUAAGACCCCAGAAAGACUAUCUGGUUGAUAGGUCGAAGGUGUAAGUGCAGCAAUGUAUUUAGCUUAUCGAUACUAAUAGGUCGAGGACUUGACCAA